AUGGCGGCCAGGCCGGGCCCCGACGCGCUCGCAGCCUGGGCUGCGGCCUGGGGCGGGAGGGGCACUGUCGUUGACUUGGUGACCCCAAGCCUCCAAGGCCUGUCGUUGGCCUGGACUGGCCUAGGCCCUGCUCUACUGUGGCCUACACUCAAGCCACUGCGACUGGCCUACUACCCAUCUGGACCUCAAGGUCCCACUGCUAAAAGAGAAGAAACCGUCUACACCCAUGUGCUUCAGCCGUAUCCAACCCAGAUAACGCAGUCAGAGAAACAGUUUGUGGUGUUUGAGGGAAACCAUUAUUUCUACUCUCCCUAUCCAACAAAGAGCCAGACCAUGCAGGUAAAACUUGCCUCCUGAAACGUGGAGAGCCACAUCAAGCUAGAGAACCCCACGCACUCUGAGGAUGUCCUGGAUUAUGGGCCUUUCAAAGAUGUAACUGCCUAUAGUCAGGAUAGUUUUAAAGUACACUAGGAGAACAACAGCCCUUUCCUAACCAUUACCAGUAUGACCCGGGUCACUGAGAUUUCUCACUGGGGUAAUAUUGCUGUGGAAGAGAAUGUGGAUUUGAAGUGCACAGGCUCUGUGCCGAAGGGACCUUUCUCCCGCUAUGAUUACAGAGACAGCCAGACAGUGGAAUCUCUUCCUUCCACUCUUUUAAGACCAUCCUGCCUGCUGCUGCCCAGGAUGUGUACUACUGGGAUGAAAUUGGCAAUGUUUCCACCAGCCACCUCUUUAUUUUGGAUGACUCUGAGGAAAUGAAAAUCCGGCCUCAGUUUCCUCUCUUUGGCAGGUGGAAGCCACACUACAUCAUUGGCUACAACCUCCCAAACUAUGAAUACCUCUAUAAUUUGGGUGACCAGUAUGCACUGAAGAUGAGGUUUGUGGACCAUGUGUUUGAUGAGCAAGUGAUAGAUUCUCUGACAGGGAAGAUCAUAUUGCUGGAGGGGGCCAAGAACAUCCAGGUGGACAGUCCUUAUAUCAGUUGUGCUCCAAAUGAGCUGCACUACACUUGCCUGGACACAUUUGGCUGCCCUGUAAUUGUUGCCUAUAAGAAAAAUCUAGUUGAGCAGCACAUUCAGGACAUCAUGGUGCACUAUACUUUCAACAAGGUUCUCAUGCUGCAGGAGCCUCUGCUGGUGGUGGCUGCCUUCUAUACCCUGUUUAUUACCCCCAUCAUCUAUGUCCGUCUGGACUUCUCCAUCACCAAGAAUCCAGCUGCAGAAGCCAGGAUGAAGUUGGCCUGCGUCACAGAACAGGUCUUAAGCCUGGCUAACAAGAGAUUAGGCCUCUGCCUUCACUUUGAUGAGACCAUCAAUAGGUACAAGCAGUCCCGGGAUGUCUCCACCCUCAACAGUGGCAAGAAGAGCCUGGAGACAGAGUACAAGGCUGUGACCAGUGAGAUUGCAGUUCUGCUGUCUAAACUGAAGAUGGAGGGCUCUGACCUGUGUGACAGUCAGCGAAAUGCAGAAGCUGGACUCCCAGGUCAAGGAGUUGGUUGGCACUUAAGUCGGCAGUGGAGGCUAGGCUGGUGGCUGGCAAGCUCAAGAAGGAUACAUACAUCGAGACCGAAAAGGUCAUCUCAGGGAAGUGCCAGGAGCUGGUAACCAAGAUCAAUCACAUUCUGGAUGCUCUGUAG